GAUGAACGCUGGCGGCGUGCCUAAUACAUGCAAGUCGAGCGAACGGACGAGAAGCUUGCUUCUCUGAUGUUAGCGGCGGACGGGUGAGUAACACGUGGAUAACCUACCUAUAAGACUGGGAUAACUUCGGGAAACCGGAGCUAAUACCGGAUGAUAUUUUGAACCGCAUGGUUCAAAAGUGAAAGACGGUCUUGCUGUCACUUAUAGAUGGAUCCGCGCUGCAUUAGCUAGUUGGUAAGGUAACGGCUUACCAAGGCAACGAUGCAUAGCCGACCUGAGAGGGUGAUCGGCCACACUGGAACUGAGACACGGUCCAGACUCCUACGGGAGGCAGCAGUAGGGAAUCUUCCGCAAUGGGCGAAAGCCUGACGGAGCAACGCCGCGUGAGUGAUGAAGGUCUUCGGAUCGUAAAACUCUAUUAUUAGGGAAGAACAUAUGUGUAAGUAACUGUGCACAUCUUGACGGUACCUAAUCAGAAAGCCACGGCUAACUACGUG
rnacentral:rRNA from 1 species